ensembl:snRNA U6 U6 spliceosomal RNA
AUGCUCACUUUAGCAGUUCACUUCACUGCAGAGAAGAUUAGCAUGGCCCCUGCACAAGGUUAACAUACAGAUAUGUGAAGCAUUCCAUAUUUUC